rnacentral:sRNA from 1 species
GCUUUCUGCACCCGAAAGAGGAUGAGAACCUGCGGGGGCAGAGGUUCGACCCGGGCGUAGCGAGAGAACGUUGCUUCAGCAACGGCCCGCAGGGUGAGCCACGCAGUGGCGAGUCAUCCUCUAUCACCGACCA